CGUAGGCGCAAGCGUUAUCCGGAUUAUUGGCGUAGAGCUCGUAGGCGGUUGUCGCGUCUGCUGUGAACCCGAGGCUCAACCUCGGGCCUGCAGUGGUACGGCAGACUAGAGUGCGGUAGGGAGAUUGGAAUUCCUGGUGUAGCGGUGGAAUGCGCAGAUAUCAGGAGGAACACCGAUGGCGAAGGCAGAUCUCUGGGCCGUAACUGACGCUGAGGAGCGAAAGGUGGAGCAAACAGGCUU
rnacentral:rRNA from 1 species